rnacentral:misc_RNA from 1 species
AAGUCGUAACAAGGUUUCCGUAGGUGAACCUGCGGAAGGAUCAUUAGUGAAUCUAGGGUGUCCAAUUUAACUUGGAGCCCGAACUCUCACUUUCUAACCCUGUGCAUCUGUUAUUGGUUAGUAGCUCUUCGGAGUGAACUCCAUUCACUUACAAACACAACGUCUAUGAAUGUAUACAAAAUUAUAACAAAACAAAACUUUCAACAACGGAUCUCUUGGCUCUC